CCUAUCUCCUCACCUCUCUCUCGCUCAUCUCCCCCCUCUCUCUCCAGCAGGUGGCCGACACCACUCCGGGUGGCGGCGGCGCCAGCUUCUCGGCGGCAACGACGAACACAGAAGGUCGACGAAGGUUUGAGCGGCGGUGGCGGCGGUAGAUCGGAACGACGGGCGGCGGCUCGAUGGUUCAGGUUCGAGUUCACACACGUUCCUGUUUCGGGUCGCGAUUCGGGUUUCGAGUUUAAUCGGUUCAGGCCAUCGGAGCUCCGGCCCGGCUGACAAUGGCAACGGAUUCAGGUCUCGGUUCGGUUGAAUCGGGUGGCUCGGGAUCGAGCCUGGGUUUGAUUCGGUUCCGUUUCCGUUCUCUUGAAUCGGGUGGCUCGGGAAGGUUUGAAAAUUCAGAUGGAGGCGUUGGGAGAUACAGAUCCCAGAGUCGCUGAGACUUGCAGAUACUUAGCUGAGGCUCUUGUUCAAGCAAUGCAAUUUGAUGAAGCAGAUACCUUAUGCAAAAGAACCCUUGAAAUCCACAGAAUACACAGUGCACCUGCAUCACUUGAAGAAGCAGCUGAUAGACGAUUAAUGGCCCUCAUAUGUUUUGUCGCUGAUUGGUGACUUGCUAUUGUUGUUUGUUGAUGUUUGUUAAUCAGGCUGCUGACAUUACCGACCGACUCCAACGACAUCGAAAGGUUGUAGGACUAUGACGACCGACUCCAACGACAUCGAAAGAUCUGUGGUGGUCCCCUUGUCACAGAAUUAUCGACUUCAAACGCUGUAUAAACAUGGGCUCUACCUUAAGGUACCUAAUUACAUUUCGUUGUACUUAUCGUUAUUCUUGUCGGACGCCGGAUUUACAUGAGACGCCGUCAUGCUAUACUUGCCUCUUUUUGGUUACAUGUCAAAUUGCUGUCAAAGUCGAUUAAAGAUUGUAGAAUUGAUGCAGGGGCUUAUGGGUAUUAUUGAAAAUUGAAGGUUUCUUUUAACAAAAUUGGACAUGUAUCUCGUUUUAAAACCCCGGUUAAACCGAAUGCAAGAAAAUGCCCGGUUUCUUCUGAUGAACCGGAGACUACAGUUUCAGAUGAUGAUUCGUCUUCUGAUGAAUUGGGGACUAUAGUUUCAGAUGAUGACGCUUCUUUGUGGUUGAGUGAAGAUCAAGAACAUGGGAUCAAGAUUAAGGAUGAAGGUGAAUGUUCAAGUAAAGCAGGGGAGAUUGAAAAGGGUAAAGCUGAUUUCAAAAGUGAUAAAUCCUUCAUGGUUUAUAUAAAUCAAUCACAUCUUACUAAUCGCGGAGUGG